GACAGAGGGUGCAAUCGUUGCUCGGAAUCACUGGGCGUAAAGCGCGUGUAGGCGGCCACUCAAGUCAGGUGUGAAAUCCCCGGGCUCAACCUGGGAACUGCAUCUGAAACUGGUUGUCUUGAGUGUCGGAGAGGGAAGCGGAAUUCCUGGUGUAGAGGUGAAAUUCGUAGAUAUCAGGAGGAACACCGGUGGCGAAGGCGGCUUCCUGGACGACAACUGACGCUGAGACGCGAAAGUGUGGGUAGCAAACAGG
rnacentral:rRNA from 1 species